rnacentral:SRP_RNA from 11 species
AAGCUACUCGGCUGACCCCUGGGAACUACCCUGGGCCAGUCUUUUUGGGAUGCCUCAUCCUGUCAACGAGCAGGCUCUCAGGUCGGUGCAUUGCUGCUGCUGCAAGUGCGCUUCCGAGGGCCUGCCUGGAUCGGCGGCAAAAGGCGUGGAGCAGCUCAGGGCCGAAAAGGAACAGUUGUACAAAGAGAUGCUCCAGGUGGCGGAGGAGGAGAUCGCUUCGCU